rnacentral:rRNA from 1 species
AGAGUUUGAUCCUGGCUCAGGAUGAACGCUGGCGGCGUGCCUAAUACAUGCAAGUCGAGCGAACGGACGAGAAGCUUGCUUCUCUGAUGUUAGCGGCGGACGGGUGAGUAACACGUGGAUAACCUACCUAUAAGACUGGGAUAACUUCGGGAAACCGGAGCUAAUACCGGAUAAUAUUUUGAACUGCAUGGUUCAAAAGUGAAAGACGGUCUUGCUGUCACUUAUAGAUGGAUCCGCGCUGCAUUAGCUAGUUGGUAAGGUAACGGCUUACCAAGGCAACGAUGCAUAGCCGACCUGAGAGGGUGAUCGGCCACACUGGAACUGAGACACGGUCCAGACUCCUACGGGAGGCAGCAGUAGGGAAUCUUCCGCAAUGGGCGAAAGCCUGACGGAGCAACGCCGCGUGAGUGAUGAAGGUCUUCGGAUCGUAAAACUCUGUUAUUAGGGAAGAACAUAUGUGUAAGUAACUGUGCACAUCUUGACGGUACCUAAUCAGAAAGCCACGGCUAACUACGUGCCAGCAGCCGCGGUAAUACGUAGGUGGCAAGCGUUAUCCGGAAUUAUUGGGCGUAAAGCGCGCGUAGGCGGUUUUUUAAGUCUGAUGUGAAAGCCCACGGCUCAACCGUGGAGGGUCAUUGGAAACUGGAAAACUUGAGUGCAGAAGAGGAAAGUGGAAUUCCAUGUGUAGCGGUGAAAUGCGCAGAGAUAUGGAGGAACACCAGUGGCGAAGGCGACUUUCUGGUCUGUAACUGACGCUGAUGUGCGAAAGCGUGGGGAUCAAACAGGAUUAGAUACCCUGGUAGUCCACGCCGUAAACGAUGAGUGCUAAGUGUUAGGGGGUUUCCGCCCCUUAGUGCUGCAGCUAACGCAUUAAGCACUCCGCCUGGGGAGUACGACCGCAAGGUUGAAACUCAAAGGAAUUGACGGGGACCCGCACAAGCGGUGGAGCAUGUGGUUUAAUUCGAA